rnacentral:lncRNA from 1 species
GGGACUUGAGAAACAUCUGAUACAUUGGAAGUUGAAUUACCAUGAGCUGACAAAAUAUAAUAUAUCUAGCUAAAUCAAAACAAACAACAAAAAAAUAUACGUAUAUAUAAACUGAUAUGCCAAUAUCAAAUUUAGGGAUGGCAAUGAGUAAGAUUUGGAUCAGAUAUUAUACUAUCCAUUCUCAAAUCCGAACUUAAUAUCUUAUACUCA